UUUUUUUUUUUUUAAUUUUGGAGAUAGGGUCUUGCUCUGUUGCUCAGGCUGGGUUGCAGCGGUGGGAUCAUAGCUCACUGCAGCCUUGAACUUCUGGGCCCAAGCGAUCCUUCCUCCUCAGCCUCUUGAGUAGCUGGGACUACAGGCGUGGACCCCUACCCUGGCUAAUUUGAAAAAUUUUGCAGAGACGGGGUCUCACUAUGUUGCUCAGGCUGGUUUCGAACUCCUGGCCUCAAGCGAUCCUCCCGUUUGAUCUCUCAAAGUGCUGGAAUUCCAGGCAUGAGCCACCCUGCAGUCGUGGGUGGGGUGUGUGUGGCUACUCCUUAGAUGAGGCUCCUCUUCUUCACUGAAUCCCCUCCAUAUCCUAGCCCCAUUCAUUGAAGCCCUCCCCCUCAGUGAACCCCCCAUUUGAUCCCUGUGCCCCUAACCCUACUGUCCUAUUCUGGGAACCCCAUCCCCACCCCUCCUUUCUCUCACUGAACCCUAAUUUCUCUUUUCUUUUCUUUCUUUUUUUUUUCAGUCUCACUCCGUUGUCCUGGCUGGAGUGCAGGGGCCCGAUCUCGCCUCACUGCAACCUCUGCCUGCUGCAGUCUCCUGCAAUCUCACCUCACUGCAACCUCCGCUUCCUGGGUUCAAGUGAUUCUCCUGCCUCAGCCUCCCGAGUAGCUGGGAUUACAGAGGUAGCUGGGCUGGAGGCAAGAGCAUGAGAUUUGAAGCUCCAGACAAGGGCUCAUCCUGCACUGUCCUGAGCCGCCUUGUGACCUGGAGCCUGCCGUGUCCCUCUGUGAGCCUCUUCUCGAAGAUGAGAAAACUGAGGUGCAGAGAAGAAAAGGAACAUUCCCUAUGAUGUCAAGACCUUUUAGUAAAGCAUAUACGUUGAGUCUAAGGUGAGAGGAUCACUUGAGACUGGGAGUUUGAGAGCAGCCUGGGCAACAUAGUAAGAUCACAUUUCUACAAAUCAAAUUACAUGAGGCCAGGCCCGGUGGCUCACGCCUGUAAUCUCAGCACUUUGGGCCAAGGUGGGCAGAUCACUUGAGGUCAGGAGUUCGAGACCAGCCUGGCCAACAUGGCAAAACCCCAUCUCUACUAAAAAUACAAAAAUUCGCUGGGCAUGGUGGCACAUGCCUAUAAUCCCAGCUACUUGGGAGGCUGACGCAGGAGAAUCACUUGAACCCGGGAAGCGUAGGUUACAGUGAGCAGAGAUCAUAGAGCUGCACUCCAGCCUGGAUGACAGAGUGAGACUCUGUCUCAAAAACAAACAAGCAAACACCUAUAUAAGUUCAUCUAGCAACUGGCUUUGAGAAUUCAUGUGCAAAUGACACAGCCCUUGAAUGCGCUGGCUGACCUUCCCUGCUGGAGAUGUAAGCCAGCAUGAGGUCUUCCAGCUCACUCAUCCCCUUCCGACUCGAUAGAUACUGUUGUGGGUGUGUGCUCUCUGAGUCCUAAAUUUGUUUAAUGUUUUAUGCUCUUAAAUUUUCAUGUUUUCUUUUUCAAUUAUUUUUGUUUUUAUUUAUUUUUUGAGACAGAGCCUUAUUCUGUUGCCAAGGCUGUAGUGUGGUUGCGUGAUCUUGGCUCAGUGCAAACUCCACCUCCUGGGUUCAAGAAAUUUUCCCACCUCAGCUCCCAGCUCCAGAGUAGCUGGGAUUGCAGGCGUGUGCCACCAUGCUCAGCUAAUUUUUUGUAUUUUUAGUAGAGAUGGGGGUUUCACCGUGUUGGCCAGGCUGGUCUUGAACUCCUGACCUCAAGUGAUCCAACCGCCUCAGCCUCCCAAAAUGCUGGGAUUACAGGUAUGAACCACAGCUCCCAGCAUUUUUUUUUUUAAAUAGAGAUGGGGGUCUUGCUCUGUUGCCCAGGCUGGUCUGGAACUCCUGGGCUCAAGUGAUCCUCCCACCUCAGCCUUCCAAAGUGCUGCUGGGGGCCGGGCGCGGUGGCUCACGCCUGUAAUCCCAGCACUUUGGGAGGCCAAGGCAGGCGGAUCACAAGGUCAGGAGAUCGGGACCAUCCUGGCUAACACCGUGAAACCCCGUCUCUACUGAAAAUACAAAAAAUUAGCCGGGCGUGGCAGCGUGCGCCUGUAGUCCCAGCUGUUGGGGAGGCUGAGGCAGGAGAAUGGCGUGAACCCGGGAGGCGGAGCUUGCAGUGAGCCGAGAUUGCGCCACUGCACUCCAGCCUGGGUGACAGAGCGAGACUCCGUCUCAAAAAAAAAAAAAAAAGUGCUGCUGGGAUUACAGGUGUGAUCCACCGUACCCAGCCUUAAAUUCAUGUUUGCUAACUAGUUUACUCCUGAUCAUGUCUGUGGAGUAGGCAGGGGAAGUUUUACCCCCUUGUGAAAACAAACUGAGCCCCACAGAGCUGAUCAAAGUGGACCCAGACAGAGUCUGCUACAAAAGGACAAAGAGCAUGUGGAAGUGGAACACAGCCCCACAGAGGACGGGCGUCGGGCUGACCGCCAUGGGCAGGGCUCUGCCCUGGGUAGAGACUGCCGGCAGCACGCUCUUCCUCAUGCCAGCACUUUCGCCAAUUAAAUGGUCCUGUUUCCCAUUAGCCAGGAACACAAUGGCCCACUGACAGAUGAAAGGGCCCAGAUGUGGGAGGAGGGCGGGGAGUCCAGGCAAAGGGUCCACCCUCUCUGCUCAUCACUCAGCCAGGCUGCCAGGCCUGCCAGGGGCCCUGGGUGGGGGUAGUGAUGAUAGAAACAGAGAUGAAUCCAGUCUCGAGCUUUUUCCUUCACUUCUCAGACUGUGGGGCAACAAUAUGACACGGUGCAUAUUAUGAUAAUUACUGACCCAGGUGCCAGGUACGAUGAGCACUUUACAUGUAUUAGUCUUAUUUAUUUAUUUAUUUGAUGGAGUCUUUCUUCGUCACCCAGGCUGGAGCCUGUCUCUGUUCCUGUUUUGCUCCUACUCUGGCCAGAGAGAUGAGGAUUAAGUGGGGUAAGGUGGGAAAUACUUUACCCCUCACUACCCAGCAAUACAGAAAGUCUGCAAGAAGGGUUUCCCCGUUUCCUAUUGAGGUCUGUCUGUUCCUACAGUGCUGCCAGCCUUUACGAUGACUAAGACUGGGUGUGGUGGCUCAUGCCUGUAAUCCCAGCACUUU